rnacentral:lncRNA from 1 species
AAGAAAACAGAAGCCUCGGAAUCAAUAAAACUGUGAGAUCUGAAUUUGUUUUCAUUGUUCAAUUCAUGCUUUGAUGUCGAAUGUCCUUCUGUGCAUAUUUUCAUGAUUAUUUUCGUUUAAUGACUAGGAGGCCUACUAGUUUAUUAUUCGUUGCAAUCUACUGCUAGGUUAGAUAUCAAAUCCGUAAUUGUUUGAUUCCUCUAAUCUGUGAAGCAACUAAGAUCUAAUAAUUUGCUGCGUCAGAAAUUUUUAGAUCUUAGGAAGAAUACUCGGCUAAAUCAAAUGCAACCGCUUGUGUUUGUGUUGUUUAGUUUCAUCGAUCUCUUUAAUUCUUAAGGCUGCUACUAGAUUAAACCUUUAGCGCUUGUCUUGGGUUGUUUAGUAGUUAGGGUUAAUUAGAUCGUUUGUUUUUAAUUAACUACAACUAAGAAGAGAUAGAAAAAUAUUUCUAUCGGUGGACAUUCAAAGUGCAAAUUGAUAUCUUUGCAUCAAUGAUCAGUUGUAAAAUUCCGAUGGUGGAUGUUGACUUAGACCAAAAUUUGUUCUUUUGAUUGAUUUCAAUACUUAAAUCUGAAUUCUUCUUUAGUUGUUUUAUUAUUUUCGUUAUACUCAAAACCCCCCCUCCGUCCUUGUUCAAGUUGCAUAAAACUAGGCUAGAUACUCUCCGUGGG